rnacentral:rRNA from 1 species
AGAGUUUGAUCCUGGCUCAGGAUGAACGCUGGCGGCGUGCUUAACACAUGCAAGUCGAGCGAGAAGUUUUGAAAAGAUUCUUCGGAUGAAAUUUAAAAUGGAAAGCGGCGGACGGGUGAGUAACGCGUAGGCAACCUGCCCCAUACAAAGGGAUAGCAUUUGGAAACGAAUAUUAAUACCUUAUGAAACUUAACUAGUGCAUGCUAGGUAGGUCAAAGAUUUAUCGGUAUGGGAUGGGCCUGCGUCUGAUUAGCUAGUUGGUGAGGUAACGGCUCACCAAGGCGACGAUCAGUAGCCGACCUGAGAGGGUGAUCGGCCACAUUGGAACUGAGACACGGUCCAAACUUCUACGGAAGGCAGCAGUAGGGAAUCUUGCACAAUGGGCGAAAGCCUGAUGCAGCAACGCCGCGUGAAGGAUGAAGGCCUUCGGGUUGUAAACUUCUGUUCUAAGGGAAGAAACAAAUGACGGUACCUUAGGAGCAAGCCCCGGCUAACUACGUGCCAGCAGCCGCGGUAAUACGUAGGGGGCAAGCGUUAUCCGGAAUUAUUGGGCGUAAAGAGUGCGUAGGUGGUUACCUAAGCGCAAGGUUUAAUUUAGAGGCUCAACCUCUACUUGCCUUGCGAACUGGGCUACUUGAGUGCAGGAGGGGAAAGCGGAAUUCCUAGUGUAGCGGUGAAAUGCGUAGAUAUUAGGAGGAACACCAGCGGCGAAGGCGGCUUUCUGGACUGUAACUGACACUGAGGCACGAAAGCGUGGGUAGCAAACAGGAUUAGAUACCCUGGUAGUCCACGCCGUAAACG